AGAGUUGUAUCCUGGCUCAGGAUGAACGCUGGCGGUAUGCCUAACACAUGCAAGUCGUACGAGAGUUUUUAACUCAAGUGGCGGACGGGUGAGUAACACGUGAGAAUUUGCCUUUAGGAGGGGGAUAACAGAGUGAAAACGCUGCUAAUACCCCAUAUGCUUUCGAGUGAAAUGGAUUUAUUCGCCUAAAGAGAAGCUCGCGGCUGAUUAGCUUGUUGGUAAGGUAAUGGCUUACCAAGGCGACGAUCAGUAUCUGGUUUGAGAGGACGAUCAGACACACUGGAACUGAGACACGGUCCAGACUCCUACGGGAGGCAGCAGUGGGGAAUUUUCCGCAAUGGGCGAAAGCCUGACGGAGCAAUACCGCGUGAGGGAAGACGGCCUAUGGGUUGUAAACCUCUUUUCUCGGGGAGGAACUCAAUGACGUUACCUGAGGAAUAAGCAUCGGCUAACUCCGUGCCAGCAGCCGCGGUAAGACGGAGGAUGCAAGUGUUAUCCGGAAUCACUGGGCGUAAAGCGUCUGUAGGUGGCUUAACAAGUCAACUGUUAAAUCUUGAAGCUCAACUUCGAAAUCGCAGUCGAAACUGUUAGGCUAGAGUAUAGUAGGGGUAAAGGGAAUUUCCAGUGGAGCGGUGAAAUGCGUAGAGAUUGGAAAGAACAC
rnacentral:rRNA from 1 species